ACAAUCUUGAAAGUUAUUUCCAGUUAUUAUUAUUAGCCUCCACCUGGGAAAAGUGGGGUUAAUGCACUACCAGAUGUGGUGCAUAUAAACAAACACAGCACAUAAAAUUGUGGAAAAAUCUGAUAACUUAAUAUUACAAGAGAAGACAUUACCAGUUUGAUUCAACCCUGCAAAUAUGCAACUACACAUAUACACACUUACCCGUUUCCUUCACGUCACACCAACUCAACACAGGCACCGCUGCCAGUGACGAGUGCCUGAGUGCCAAAGUCGUGCCUGGCCUCAUAUAUCUCACUCACUAACGCCUCACCUGUUCACCCACCCUUCUCCCUGACAUUCACCACAACAUUCCUUCAAAGACAAUGUGAAUAAGCAUAUAAUAUCUUAAGGAAUUACCAUAGAUAAGGGAAGCUGUACCGGCCACACUCACCCUCGAUAGGGGCAGCAGGGUGUAGGAAAGGUGGUCAGCAGGAGCGACAAGCCAUUUUCUUCCUCCAAAACACUUCGAGGUUCCAGUACUUCCUUGCCCCUUCACACCACACGCCAACCUCCUCCUCAUUGCAAACCUCUCCGUCACUUAUUUCUAAAAAUUGAAUAAGAGGUGAAAGCGAGCCAUCUGUUGGCCUCGACAAGAACUACACCCUGGAUCAGCUGGUACCUCGUUCUCUCUAGAGCGCUUGCACGUCCUCGUUCUCUAAUAAUUUGCAUCAUAAACUAUAUUGUUUAAAUUUCUUUUGUGACAUCGCAUCAGUUACCUACAAUAAAGCUAUUCAUAGUGUACAAUGAAAUUAUCUAGGUAAUCCAUUCCAGCAGGUUUUUAAUUGAGAAAAUUACUGAAUGUGCCAUGGGUAAUAAAAGUCUUUAGCUGUUG